ACGCACGCUGGCGGCGUGCUUAACUCCUGCAAGUCGAACGGAAAGGCCCUGCUUUUGUGGGGUGCUCGAGUGGCGAACGGGUGAGUAACACGUGAGUAACCUGCCCUUGACUUUGGGAUAACUUCAGGAAACUGGGGCUACUACCGGAUAGGAGCUCCUGCUGCAUGGUGGGGGUUGGAAAGUUUCGGCGGUUGGGGAUGGACGCGCGGCUUAUCAGCUUGUUGGUGGGGUAGUGGCUUACCAAGGCUUUGACGGGUAGCCGGCCUGAGAGGGUGACCGGCCACAUUGGGACUGAGAUACGGCCCAGACUCCUACGGGAGGCAGCAGUGGGGAAUAUUGCACAAUGGGCGGAAGCCUGAUGCAGCAACGCCGCGUGCGGGAUGACGGCCUUCGGGUUGUAAACCGCUUUCGCCUGCGACGAAGCGUGAGUGACGGUAAUGGGUAAAGAAGCACCGGCUAACUACGUG
rnacentral:rRNA from 1 species